GACUCGAUUACCGAACAGUCACCGUAUGGUGUGCGUGCCUCCUUGAGGGGCUAGGCAUCGAGUCGAUU
rnacentral:ncRNA from 1 species